rnacentral:pre_miRNA from 14 species
GUCUAGGACCCCUGGGUGGUCGCGCAGAUCCCGGACGAGCCCCCAAAUGAAAGACCCCCGAAGGGAGCCCCCCCGCUCAAGUCUCGGGAGAGACGCGCACCCAGUAGGACACAGACACCG